CUGUGCUAUGUAAAGCCGCGCAUCCUAUUUUUUGCACUUUUUCAUUUUAUUUUUUUACAAUCAAAUGCCUUUUUUAAAAAAAUAGUAAUAGUUAGAAUAAUGUUGUAAACCUAGCAACACUUCUUUGACAAUGUUAUUCAGUGUUCGAACCGUAUUACUUGACACGAUAUAGAUGGUUUGCCGUUGAGCGGUAAUUAUGAUUUUUACCAUCAAAAUACGCCUACAAAAAAAGCAAUAAAAGAUUGAUUAACUUGAUUUAUAAGCAAGUAAAAACAGUGCAAUCCAGUUAUUCAGUUCAUUAAAGAAAUAUACAUAGCUUUUAAAUUAUGUUAAUUAUUCUGUCUAGCAAUCAUUUAAAGCAAACUGAAGGCUAGAAUAAUAAGGGCAAUUGGCAUGUUGUAAGACUAUCACAAAAAAAAAAGACAGUCUAAGGUAUAAGUUGAAUUGAGUUUUUUGUGGUAUUGUUAAACACAACUUCCAAAAAAUAAAGGUUUAUUUGUUUGUUUUAGUUCUUAACGCAAAACAUUUUCACUAUUUUUGACCAGUUGACAAAUCUACUGCUGCUACGCCAUCCUCAGGUUCAGCUAGAUUUGGAGUUUGUUCGGUACCAUCUUCAGCAAAAUCUUUACCAGCAACUUCUAAAGAAUUAUCGGCAUCCUUGCUACUUUUCUCUUCACUUAUCAUGUCUUUUGAAGCAUCAGCUGUUUCGUUCUCGUUUUGUGUUGGUCCGUUGGAAUCAGCUUUAACUUUAUCCUCGUUGUCUUCAUUCUGCUUUUGAUCCGUGAGCUGUUCAGCUGGUGGAGACGGCGUUGGUUUUGAUUCAGAGCCUUCAUCAAGAGAAGCUAUCUCGGUUUCAUUUUCAUUUGCUAUUGAUGCAUCCUGUGUUUGUGAAGCAUCGGUUGACAGUUGUUUUUGAGAUGAAAUCUCCUGCAGCAAAGAUUUCCAUCUGUUCUCCAAAAUAUCUCCACAUAUGCUUUUGACUUCGUCCUCAUUUUCUUUUGGAAGUCCAGCUAAGGAAAAAAUCUUCCUCACGACAACAGCAAUUUUAGUUUUCUGGAUUAAUGGAACAUCAAUACCUUGGAAGUUUGCGAGCUUGUCUAGAUAAUUAUGAACUAAUUUAUAGUCGACUUGACUAAGGUCCUGUUUUGGUGAUAACAGGCUGCUUUGUAAUUUGUGUCGAAGAAACAACAAAGAUUGCUCUCGUGAGUGAAAAGUUCUCUUUGCAACGUCUUCUUCAUUAGCGACAGAGCCCUCUUCUUCUUCUUUAUCCUUUUCUAUCUCGUCGGAGGAUGCUCUUUUAGAUGAAGGGCUUUUCUUUUUAGAAGCAGCAGUACUACGCCGAGGAGAAACACGAGUUUUUUUUGCAGGGUUCGAACUAACGUUUGAGGAUGCAUUGAGGCGUUUUUGUGGUACGGAUUCAAGUGAAGGGUCAAAUGUUACGGUUUUUUUCUUUGUACCUUUCCUAGUAAUGCGUCUAGCUUUCGUAUCAUUAUAAUCUUCUUCUAUUGGAGAUGGUUCCGACAUUUCUUGGUCAGAUUCUUCUUCAGAAACUUCUGAUUCGGAAGAAGGAACGGACAACGAGUCCAGAUCUGGUGUACUUUGAGCCAUUUUAUAAGCUUUAAUCAAACUAGCAGUUUUUGGCUUGGGUUUUUCCAAGAAUUGUGAUAUGGCCUCUGAAGUUAAAGGAGUAAGAGAAUCAGAUCCUGUCCAUAGGUAUUCCUUGUUGGGAAAGAAAAUUACGGGAUAAAAUGUUCCUGCACGCUUUGGUUUAGACUUUCUCGCGACGCUGGUCAUUUUGCUCUCUGUAACGACCAUACUAGGCCACCAUGGGAAUCCCGACAUUUUUGUUAAAACGCGCAUUCCAGGCUUAUAAUUGACGCGUUCAGAUUGUUUGGUUUCUUUUCUCGCAUUGCCGUUAGACUUCUCAGAUUUUUGACUUUUUAUAUCGCCAAUAUUAUUGGAAGGCUGAUCCGUUUCUAUAGUUUUCCUAUCUUUGGAAUCAGAUUCCUCUUCCAAACCUUUUGAACUUUUGUCAUUUGCUUCCUUAUCGUCCAAAUCCUUAUCAUCACCUACAUCCCUUUGGAUUUUAAUAUCUUCUGCUCCAUUCGAACUGGUGGUUUCGAUAUUUUUCGAAUUGUUAGUUGCCGUUGACAUUUCUCGUGAUUCAACUGCAAUAGAAGACUCUUCUUGUUUUCCAGGAUUUUCAUCCUUUACGCUUGAAUCCUUUAUUUCAGUCAUUUUACAAAACACCGUAUUACCCAAAACGUCCUGUAAAAGGUAAAGGGAAGAAGCAUUAAUGUGAGAUGGUAGACAUAAUGAGCACGUAGUUCUCACCGUAUCAUUUCAUUAACCGAAGGUUUAUUCUAAAUAAAAUUAAGCGAGGAAGUAAGGAUGCUAACGCCAUUGAGUUUUACGCUAUUGAUCAGUAAAAGUUAUAAUAGUUGGAGAUACUAACAAACAUGUAGUAGCGGAUGUUUAAAGAAUUCUAAAGGCUUUUAUAAAUAUUAGGCCCAUAUAAAUGCCCAUUACUAUUAAAGAACAAAACAAAUUAAGAUAUUAACAUUUGGAAAUGGACUUGUAUUAUUUUUUUUUAAGAAAGUUUCUAAAGUAAAAGGAAACAAUAAUUCAAUUGAUUUAAUGUUUAUGUGAAAAAUCUAAAGGAGAACGUUUAUCGGCAAAACGAGAACACAAAAACAAACCCAAAAUACAACCGCUAAUUCAUCCAAGAAAUUAGCAAAAUGAAACGAACAGACUAUAAAUUAAGCAGAAACCACCAACAGUGAUUCAAUCAAAAAGGAAUAUUAACAGUCAAAUCGCAUGAACUCAUAUAUUAGACACUUUAGGCGGCAAACUAAAGAUCAUGAGAUCCGAUCCAUUCACUCCAUCUCUUGACUUCUGAUGGCAUUUCCUUCUUCUCAGAUAAAACGGAAGGGAGCUUCUCCUUCAAGGACUCAACAAACAAUUUGGCGCAGUUAACAUCAUUAAUAAGAGUGACGUUGAAGUCAACAGCAUUUCUGCGCAUCACAUAGUCUUGAUCCAAAACGUUCUUGCCGCGAGCAGAAGCCAAGUUGAAAACCGAGCGAAUAUUGUAUUUUUCAAAUAUAGCACGUAAAGCACGCUUGUCCUUAACAGGGAACUCAACGACUUCAGCAGAGGUAGGCUGUAAUAAUUUAGCAGCAUCUUUAUUAGCAACGUAAAGUUUAUAUCCAAGCUUGGAAAGGUCAGCAGCAAUACCAGCAAGUUCAGGUCGAUCACCACCUAAAAGUAUACCUUGACCUGGAAGAGGAAUCUUAAAGUUUUGAGUAGACUGAAGUGCAGCCCAAUAGGCUUCCUUUACAUCCUUACCGAAACAAGCAACUUCACCAGUGGAGCUCAUUUCAACACCAAGGUAAGGGUCAGCACCGGCCAAACGUGUCCAGGAGAACUGGGGAACUUUAACGCAAACAUAAUCACGAUGCACAGCCAUCAAAUCACGAGCAGCUGGUACUUCUUGAUCAAUAAUAGAACGAGUAGCAACGUCAAUGAAGUUAACGCCAAGAGUCUUGGAAACAAAAGGGAAUGAACGAGAAGCACGAAGGUUACAUUCAAUAACCUUCAAGUCAGGAGUAUCAGGUUUAUCAGGGUUUUGGGCCAAGAUAAUUUGCAUGUUGUAAGGACCAGUAAUUUGGAAAGCUUUGCAUACUUUCUCGGCUAUUUCUUUACAUCGGCUUAAAAUAUCUUCGCUAAGUGAGUAAGGAGGAAGGGCGAUAGUAGCAUCACCAGAGUGAACACCUGCGUUUUCAACAUGUUCCGAAACGGCAUGAACUAAAAGUUUACCCUUGGAAGCAACAGCAUCAACAUCGAGUUCCCGAGCACCCUCGAUAAACUUGGUAAUGACAACUGGAUGAUCAGGAGAAACAGCUGAAGCAUUUUCUAACUUAUCCUUUAGACUAGAUUCAUCGCGAAUAACACUCAUGGCAGCACCAGAUAAAACAUAGGAAGGACGUACUAAAACAGGAUAACCAACUGCAUUUGCAAAUUUGCUUGCCUCGGCUACAGACGUAAGCUCUUUCCAAGCAGGUUGGUCAACACCAAUUUUGUCUAAAAUCUGAGAAAAUUUAUGACGGUCUUCAGCUGAAUCAAUCAUCAAAGGAUCAGUACCCAAUACCUUAGCACCAGUCUCUUGUAACUUCAAGGCGAUAUUUUGAGGAAGUUGACCACCAACACUUACUACAAUGCCAGAUGCGGUUUCCAUCUCGUAAAUAUCCAUAACUCUUUCAUAGGACAAUUCUUCGAAAUACAAAC
rnacentral:lncRNA from 1 species